GUUUCUGCCUCUGCCUCUGCCGCCUUCUUCGGAAAGAAAAAGAAAAAGAACAAGAGAAAAAAAAAAAGAAAAAAAAAAUGGAGAUCGAAAAAUAAUUACGAUAUUUUGAUCAGUUUACUAAAAAUUUUGGACCGAAUUUGCCGAAUCAAGAAAAGGGACACAAUUUUGCAAAAGCUUAAAACUAACCGUUGAUUGAUGGAAUGUGUGGUUAGGAUAAUGGUAGUCCCCACUUAAAAUGAGAGUGGUUCUCUAGGGUUGAAUGAGUAGUUGGUUCAAUAGUAUGAUCUAACGGAUGGAAAUGAUCAAUGAAAUAAAUCUAAGAGCCGAAAACUUAUGAGUAUAAGGGAACCAAUACUCAUAAAAGUAUAAUAGCCGGACUCUAUAUAUAUAGUAUUUUAUUUUUAUAUAAAAAUAUUAUUAUAUAAUAUUUUAUAUAUAAAUUUAUAAUUAUUUAUUAGUAUUCCUAAAUAUAUAACUCUUAUAUAUUAUAUAAUAUAUUUAUUAUAAUUUUAAAUAUAUUUAAUCUAUAAAUAAAAAAUAUAAUAAUAAUUUAUAAACUUAUCAAUUGUCAACCAUUUCAGACGCUCUCCGGUUUUGGGGGGAGCCAGUGGGGCCCAACUUUUUUUUUCCUUCCUCUCUCUCACACUUUAUAAAUAUUUAUUUAUUUGUAAUUUAUAUUUACAAAUAAAUAAAUACACUAAUUUGGAAUCCAAAUUUUUUUUUCCUUUAUUUUGGGGACUUGUAGGGUGACAUCAAUUUUUUAAAAAAUUAAUUACACAUUGGGCCCUAACCUUUUAGCUCUUUUUUAUUUUGGUUCCUUUUUUUUUGAGAGAGAGAUAGAUAGCAUGCUACCCGCUUCGUUUUUUUUAUUUUUUUAUUUUGAUUCAUAAUUUCUAAACUUUACAUAUUUUUCACAUUAGUUUACAAACAAUUUUUUAAAAUUUAAUUUAUAUAAUAAUAUAAUAUGUGAUACUUGAAUUUUUUUACAGUGUACAAAGUAUUCAUUUUGAUUUCGAAUGUUUUUUUAUUAGUUUUAUUUUUUGUGCUUCUGAUAAUUAUAUACUGAUAUUUUUACUAAUUUAAAAUUUAGAAAUAAAAUAUUUUCUUAGUUGUAUGUGUAACGAUAAAAGUUAAUGAUGGCACAAUAAAAACGUUGCCGCCAAAAAUACUAAAGAUAAUGCUUUCACUCUACUUAAUUUUUUUAUUUUUUUUAUUUCUACCCCGAUGAUAAUAGAAAAAUAUUAUUUAUCUUUUUUAAUAUUGUAAUAAUUUUUUUAUUAAACUGAUUUAUUCAUUUUACUUAUUAGAUUUAAAUAUUUUUAGAAAGAAAUAUAUUUUAAUUUUUUCUUUAAUUUAUUCUUUACUUUUUAAUUAUUCAAUAUUGAGAUAAAUAAUAUUUAAAAAUUUUAAUAUAUAAAAGAAAAAAUUGAUGUUGAUAUAGUUAUAAUAAUUUACUAUUAUAUUGUCUUCCCGUCGCAUUCCGCGGGAUCCCUUAACUAGUAUAUAUAAUAUAACAAUUAAUAUAUAUUAAUAAUAAUAUAUGUAAUAAUAAAUAUAUUAAGUAGGUCUUUAAUUUUAUUUUUAUUUUUCUUUUAACCAAACCAUCGUCAUAAAAAAAUAUAUUUUUUUUUCUACAAACCAAACGUAAAAAAAUUUUGCCACCAAAAAUUUUUCCACCGAAAAUUUUUUUUUCUACAGUUUUAUAUAGAACCAAACACACCCUAAGUUAUCGUUUGGUUUGGGAAUAAGCAAAAAGUGGCAAUUUCAGGUAUUGAGCAUUUAGGCACCUUCAACUUCAUUUUCAGUGCUUGAGUACUCUUUAACAUUUAGUCAUUUUAUUCGAGUUUUUUUCCUGCAUUUAGAUCAAAAUUUUGUUAAAAUUCACAGCUCCAUUAUCUGUAAAUCGUUAAAUGUCGCAUAAUUAAUUCAUAGUUCACACUUUCAUCGGAUAAAAAACAUUGAAAACAAUAUAAAUUCAACAAAAAAUCAAGACUUUUUUCAAUUUAAUCUUUUAAAAAUUUAUGCUUGACUAAAUAAUUAUGUAAAAAAUUUAUUUGGCUAAAUAACUCUAUUUUUUUUCAAAUCAGGAUGGACUGAAAAAAUAAUUAGAAGACUGCCAAUUAUUUAUAGCCUUUAAUAAAAUUUAAAAGACAGAUAAAUAAUUCACUAUCUUUAUCUUAUCUAUUAAAGAAGAUAAACGAUCUGCUUUUUUUGACUCAAAUAAGAAUACGUCCAAUGAUUUGUAGUUUCUUUCGACCAAUUAUAUAACAACAAUCUAAAAUAUUCUAAUAAUAUAUUCAUACAAUUUUAAUGAUUUGUAGUUUCUUUCAACCAAUUAUAUAACAACAAUCUAAAAUAUUAUAACAAUAUAUUCAUACAAUUUUAAUCCUCUAAUAAAAGUCCGAACAAUUCUAGUAUAUAUAAUGUUAAAACCUAACAGAGACCCUCACAAGUUAUUAAAAUAAUAAUAAUAAUAAUAAUAAUUUAACAUGAUGAAUUAUUUAUCGUUUUUUAAAAACGAUGAAACGUUUUACCGCAUUUCUCAUAUUGACAAAGAGAGAGUUAAUUAGUCAUAAAAUUUUGGAAAGAUUAUUUGAUAAAUUAAAAACGUUAUGAAGUAGUUGUUAAAAAAGUCCGAAAGGUCAUGAACCCGAAUCGGAAUCCGAUGGUAAAAAAUCCUAAUCCAUAUGUGAUGAUUAUCCGGUAAUAUUCGGGUUCGGAGCAAGAAUGGGUUGGAUAAAACCCGCAUUCAGCUUGUAUAAAAGCCCUGCCUAACCCUAGUAACCGGCGAUCGCUUGUUUACCUUCGCACUUGUGCCUACUAGCGUUCAUUCACCAGCGGCAGACCUUCGCGUCCAAGGCAUUCCGAUCCGGCGAGAGAUCGCAAAAGGUAUUCGUUCUCUCGCAUGCGAGAUCUUCACACCGUUGUGUUGAUUUGAUUUUGUAUUGAUCUUUUAACUUUGCGUUUAGAUUGUGGCGAUCGAGAUUGAGCUUUCCAGUUCUUGGAUCUAUUCGUUUUCAUGUGGUUUCUCGAUUCAUUAUGCGUUUUCUUUUUCGUCUGUGGCACGAUUUUGGGGGUUUCACCGGCGAUGGCGAUGGGUUUCCUCGAAUCUGAUCUACUUGGUUUUUUCUCCGAAUCAACUUAGGGAUUUCUCUGACCGAUUGGCUUCACUGUCCAUCGGAUAUAGUGUUUUGUCAUAUUUGGAGUCGAUCGUCUAUGAUGAAUUGAUGAAGGGUGGAUCAGUCGAUGGAAACUUCUGUUUCCCCCCUAGAUCGUAACGAGUUCUGUACUCUUAUAUAAAUUUAUGGCAUCUUUUCUUCUGGUUCUCCCGAGUGGCAUUUGCACUCGAUGGUCUGUGUAUGAUGUUUUCUUAUGCAGGGCUUUUCUAUUCUUCCUCUAUGUCAUGCGAGUGGUCUUUUUUUCAAAAAAAAAUAUUUUGGCUUGCUGAUAUGUUUUUAUCUUUGACCUGAUUUUGUUGCUUAAUUUGGUUUAGCAUAGGUCGUUUGUCGGUCCAAUCUCUUUUUUUUUUUUUUUUUUUUUUUUUUUUUUUUUUUUUUUUUUGUCUACUAGACUACCAGCGAAGAAGUUAUUUGUCUGUCUCAGGGGCAAUAUGGCGACCACCGUGAAGAACAGCUCCAGCCAGCUGAGCGACGAGACCUUGCGCCUUAUCCACCAAAAUUGGAUGAGGAGGUAUGAUUUUGAGUAUGAAGACGAGGAGGAGGAGGAGAAACGCUUCAAAAUUUUCAAAGCGACAUUUGAAGAGAUUGAGAAAUACAAUACAGAGGAGGAGGCUCCCCUGCUCAUACUAAGCCGCUAUUCAGAUCUCACCGAUGCGGAGUUCUUCGCCUUGCGUUCAACUAUACAGGGAGAGCUGCCGAAAGAUAUGCGGGAUGAUGUCUCUUUACGCCCUCAUAGACAAGAGGACUGUGAUGCCUGCGUCCUGCAUAAGAGAGGUCGCAAGUCGUAGAUGGGAUCUCUAGAGAGAAAUGGUACCUCUAGAGAAAAAUGGGCAGUGUUAUAUUUCUAGUGUAGUGGGUAGUUUGCUAUUGUCUGGAAAGUCUAAUGCUGCUACUUAGGAUCUUUUCUUUCUCCUUUUUAGGAAGGGUCUCUGUUGGGUCUCUUUCAUUUCAUUUCUUUGAUAGUAAAGGAACUUCUAUCCUUAUGACCUUAUGAUUAGCGUCCUGUCAUAUUAAUUUAGUUUCCGUGGACUAAUCGUGUCAUUGUUCUUGUGCUUAAGCACUGCCCAAACAUAUUAUCUAUUAGUGAUGGAACUGGUUUUUGCAGUUUUCUAUGAUUAUCUCUUAUUCUAUUAUAUCAACAAUAUGAAUCUUCUAGUGAUGCUGAUGGAAGAGCAGCAGAAUGACGUAUCUUAAUGAUGAUAUAUAUUAAUUAAGAGGUAUGAAAGUGGAUGGAGAGUUUUUUAGAUAAGGGAAGUCCAACUCAGGUAUGACACACAACGGUUGCGCACACAGUUUUUUAUGAUGAGAUGUUCUCUGGAAACCCAAAUAUUUUAUGGGCUAAUUGUUCUUUGUGGAGUAAUCGUUAUGCUUAUUUGUGCCUGUAGAUUUUUUUUAUGAGGUUCUGAUGCAGUUUUUUUUUUUUUUUUUUGAGAAUAAUUCUGAUGCAGUUUUUGAUAGUAAGUUCUAUACUUUGAUAGUAAGAUAGUAUCUUACUAUCAAAGUAUCUAUACUAUAUAUCUAUAGUAAGAUAAUUUUAUUUAUAAAUAUUUAUUUUUUAUUAUAUAUAUAGUAUUUUAUUUUUAUAUAGAAAUAUUAUUAUAUAAUAUUUUAUUUAUAAAAUUGUAAUUAUUUAUUAAUAUUUUUAAAUAUAUAACUCUUAUAUAUUUAUGUAAUAUAUGUUAUUAUAAUUUUAAAUAUAUUUAAUCUAUAAAUAAUAAUAAUAAAUAUAGUAUAAUGAUUAUUAUAAAUUAAUAAUAUAUAUAAUAAAAAAUAUAUUAAAUAGUUUUUUAUUUAGUUGUUUAGAAAAUUUUAUUUUUUUCUACAAAUAAAAAACUAAACGACAUAAAAAAAAUUUCCACCAAAAAAUUUUUAUUUUUCUCUACAAUUUUACGUGAAAUAAAACACACCGUAAAAUUAAAUUUACAAAAAGCGACGAAGAAGAAUACCAUGUUUGCUCCCUACCACAAAAACAUGCGAAAACCAAGUCUUUUUUUUAUUAUUUCACUCUCACAAGCCACAAACAAAAUGAAAAGUAGGAUUAGGAAAGAGAGAUAAGGAAAAGCAAAUCGGGUGAGUGUGUCGUGAGCCAACGAUUUCCAUUCUGUUGCUCUGCUGCACAGCUAGCUGGAUUCGGCCAUGGCGACGGUGCCUUCGUCUCUUUCCUGCACCCUCCGCACCUCCUUCCUCCUCUCCUCUCACCCUCCGGCUAAGCUCUCCUCCGUCCCCCUCCUCAAAUCCCGACGCCCCACUCCGCCCUCUUCCUACCCCCGCGUAAGAGCCCUCGAUCUCGACCAGAACACGGUACCUUCUCUCUCUCUCUCUCUCUCUCUCUCUCUCUCUGUAAUUUCCAAUGUAUGUUUCCUAUGUGGGAUCGAUGAUUGUACCUGAGAAACGCCCCCUUAGUUUCCCUUGCCUUACCUUAAAAUGACAGCUCGUGGCCAUCUCCGUCGGAGUCGUCAGCGUUGCCGUGGGCAUCGGGAUUCCCGUGUUCUACGAGACCCAGAUCGACAAUGCUGUACCAAUUCCCUUCCCCCUCUUCUCUCUCUCUAUUAGGGGUUUCUCUCUAUAUUAGGGCUUUCUAUGGGUUUUUUCUUUUUUUUUUUUUUUUUGUAGGGGCGGGCAAAUUACAUUCUUGUGUAUGCGCAGGCUAAGCGGGAGAACACGCAGCCGUGCUUCCCGUGCAAUGGCACCGGUGCGCGUAAGUUGCUCCACCCAUCACUCCCCCCUCCUGUUGGUUUCUUCUUCAUAUGAACGGUUGUUCUCUUCCCUGCCUGUUGCUUAUAAUUAGUUUGCUGGAUAGUUAGUACUACCGUAAAGGCGUGUAAACACAAAUGCAGUGAUAAUGAUUGUAACUUAUUCUGAAUUUUGGUGCAAUUUGUUCCAAGUCGAUGAAGUAAUAGUUUAUAAAUGAAAAAAAACAAAAAUGGAAGAUUUGGGCCGCUCUGUCGCAGUUCGAAAAACAGAACAUAACCUCCUGGGGAGUGGGGAGAAUCAGCUGCAAAAUGGGACACUUUUAUAUCACCAAUCAUCUCUUUAUUGUAAACUUCAAGUUUGUCAGUUACGUUUUUCAACGCCUCAUUAGCAAUAUUUUUGCGUAUUUUGAUACUUUUGAGAUUCAAAGUCGGCUUUCGAAACUAGCGAAAGGUUCAUAGUAAGAGCUCUGUUUGCUGAGCCGCGAGUAGAGACUCAAAAUUGAAUUGGAAAUAUAUAUUGCUUUUGUUUUUGCAGAGACGUGUAGAUUGUGCACGGGCAAAGGCAGUGUAACUGUAGUGCUUGGCGGAGGUGAGACAGAGGUGUCGCAAUGUAUCAACUGCGAAGGUGCUGGCUCCUUGACUUGCACCACAUGUCAAGGCACUGGAAUCCAACCGCGCUAUCUCGACCGCAGGUAAUAACAUUACAUUAUUUAUAACAUGUUUUUUUUUGUCUGAGUAAUGAUCGAUGCUGUAAGAGCUAUGCUGUAAGAGCUGUUAAUUUUCCAAUCAUUUUAGAGUAAAUUGUGUUGGGGGGUCCCCAACCUCUCAAUUGGUACAGUGAGAUCUCUAACCUUUUCAUUCCUCACAAUCGUAACCGUUUUGUUACAUUUCUUUUCUUGUGUUAAAUUAAAUGAAAAUGCCCAAAUACUUGGACAUUUCAUAAGUCCAAAAAUCGCUUCCGCAAGAGCGUGAUGCGGCUAUGCGGAGCGGUCGAUAUUUCUGUCCAAUUUAAACCAAAAGGAUGGGUAGGAUUGCAACAAAUGCAAGAAUCAGGGACCUAACUGUAUACAUGUACCGAACUUCAUAGUUGGGGGAUCAACUGAAACUAUUGCAGAUGGCUGGUGAGACAUUCCUUUUUGUUCUUACCUAAAAUUGUAGAUGGAUUACAACUUAAUGAUAUAGCUAAAAUCUAUCAUUUAUUAGCUCUAAAAUUAGAAUGUAAUGGUAGCCUUAUUCUUUGAAUUCACUUAACAGGGAGUUCAAGGAUGAUGAUUGAAGCCUUUCCCUCUUGACUGAUGUCCUGAAUAGAGAGACUGAAUAUGUUUUUCAUGUGGGCCCAUGGGAUGUGAAGCAAACAUGGAAAGGGGUCCUCUACUAAAUAAGGAAUAUCAUAUUUUAGGAUCGUCUUAAAUCAUUCAUUUUUUGGCACGAAUGUAAAGAUACUGAGUUGGUGUUUCAGUAGAUAUUUAUUUGUUUUGUAUUGCUGCUUGAAUUUUAAUGACCUGUUCUGUGGUACAACCUUAAGACAUACUAAAUGAGUAAGCAAUGUAUUUGCAUAUUGCUGGGGUAAGUGAUGUAUGUGAUCAUUUAACAGUAAACUCAUUUAUGCUUUCUACACCAUUUUACUAAGCAUUUUAAUUGGCUGGUUACAAAUUUUCAAGUAUAUUAUUUAAUGUACGAGUAUGUAAUUAUAGUUAGUAUCUAGAGAGAACUACUAAGAAAGCGCCCUCGAUGUGUAAGGUUAUAGAAGCUUGGUCGGAAAGGAAUAAGAUAUUUGACAUUCACAUCUUUUUAGAAUAAGAUAAAUCUCAAGGCAAGUGAAAUACACUAUGCAACCUAAUUAUAGUUUUCAAGACCUUCCAAUGAGUCAAAUUCCUUGCAAUCACCAAAAAAAACCUUACAAGUGCAUUAGUUCACAUGGCAUAAACUGUACUGGCAUUCCAGACAACUAAUAUGAGUGGUGCUUCUUGUGGAAGCACUACAAUUAUCCACCAAACAACAACUACUCUGCAAAAGCACCAAAUUAAAGCAUUUGAGGGGAAAAAAAUAUAUAUCUUAUUUCAGCUUCUGUAUGCAACAGAAAUUCUAUACUAAUUUGUUUGCCACAUGCUCGAACGAAAAAGGCCACAACUACAAGCGAAAUAGCACCCAUUACUAGCCUAUGUGUCAUAUUGCUGUCAAGUACAUAGCACAGUUAAUCCAACCCCAGUUUAUAAACCCAAUACGUGUAUUGGACUGUGAUGAACGACACAGUAACUUAAAAUAAGAAGCUGCACACAGAAGAUGAAGACAUAUGGAAGGACAAUAAAUAGGAGCUUCUUCAAAAGUACUUAUCAAGUAAAGACCUUCCGAGAAGCACCUACUUUUCCAUUAAAAUCUGCUCACUUAUUGUCCACAGCAGUAGAAGCACAAGUGUCGCUUUACUUGGUAGUUCCAACAUUUUGUUCAUCGGUUUGAAACAUUAGAAAGAUCAGGCUUAACUAUCAGAAACAUCAAAGAUCUACAUAAGAAUCACAUUCAAGUAUUCAUAAUCCACAUGCUAAUCAAGUACAUGGAAGAAAAGUUUUCAUCACAAACUCCCAAAACUCAGUUUGUACAGGUUCAGUAACAAUUCUUGGUCUUGGCGUUCCUAGUACUAGAGCAUCCUAUACAGCAGCUAUAAGUACAGAAUACAGAAAACCAACUGGUGACUUAACACACUAAUUAAUUCUUUUUUAUUAACUUUACUAAUUCAGGAAAACCUCAAUAAUGCGAGAAUGGUAGUUUGAUAAUUUUCAGCAGCAGGAGAAUUCCGAUUUAACUCCCAAUAUAAUACUCACCACGAAUGUAAGACCCCCAAAAAAAAGGAAGAGGAAAAGCAAUAUCAAGUAGGAAAACCUCACAAACCAAAACUCUCAAUUCAGCAGCACAUACAAGCUAUGGCACACUACCAGUGUGAGCAGCUGCGUCUUUCUGAGUUUUACACCUGCAACAAAAGAAAUAGCUUUACUUACCAAGAGAUGAGCAUAUUCAAAUGGCUAUCCUUGCAUGGUACGGUAUAUGCAAUAUAGACCAAUUCAAUUGUCCCUCUAUUUCAUAUUAGUUAAAAAUAAAAAAUAAAAAAAAUUCUGCCAGUUGGUACUAAUCCUAGUAUCUUUGAUUGUUCAAAUACUAUCAUAUGUCAACUAUUUUAUUAAGAGACCAAAUUAAACACAUCAUAAGCCCAGUCUGAAGAUAAUACUCAUACCUAUUGCAAUAUGUUCGCGAUGCAAAAUUGUGAUUGUUGCAAUUACUGCACAUCCAGUCCCCAUCACGCCAUUGUUUCGCACUGAUAAACAGAAAAAUUAUUUAGUAGGGAUCACCAUUCAAUAUUUUCAAAAUGAGAAGAAAAUCUUUUAAGGAUAGAAAGGUUCUUUCUGAAAAGUGUCACAAGUGGCUAUACAUACAAUACAGAAAAUUGAAAUCCUGGUGUUGCAAAAUGGGAUGUCCGACGAAUUUACCACAAAUUAAUCAGGAAAAGUGGUUUGAAGAUACAUAGAAUUCUUUUUUGUACAUAAAUGAAAAAGAAUAUGCAACAUAUGUAUUGGAUAUAUAUAUAAGAUUAAUAAAUAUUUAAGGGCUACAAAAUGUAUAUAUUAUGGAAAUGACAAAUGACAUUUUAGACAUCAAUUAUUAACAGAAUGCCAUAUACAAAUUCUCAUGAUGCAUUAUUGCAACUGUGCAAGCCUAUAUACUUACAAGAUAAAAGAGGAUUGAAAGCAUGCCAUUCACAUAUGCAACUAAGAAUCCACAAGAAUGCAUAUAGGCAUUUAUACUUGUGUUUUUAUGUCUAUCACUCUAUUGCAUGCAGCAGAUACCAUAACAGCAUAAGCACACGGAUAGACAUAAUUAUAUUAGAAGAAUAUCAUAAAUACAAAAAGAUUGGCAUACCCUUUUCCUAUGAGUGCAGGCAAUGUUGCAACUUGUCGAGACUGUUGGUUUACUUGUAUAGAUGGCACUGUUGCUGAGUUUUCAUUAGCCUUGGGAUAAAUCCCCGGUGUCUGAUCACUGUUGGAUCCGGCUGAAUUCUUGAAAUCCUAAAAAUGAAAACAGCAUUGUAAGAGUUUUCCAAACUGCAGAAUAAAUGAAUAAUAUAAAUAGAAAAAAUAGCAAGUCGAAUUAUACCGAAAACUGGCGAUUUGCAUGCCCUGCAUUUAGCCUUUUAUUAUCCCAAUCAUUGAUGAACUCUUCAGGCGCCAAUCUUUUCGUACCCAAUGCUGAAAAAGAAAAAAGGAAUAGGUUAGUAAGCUUCAAAAUAAAUCAUUAUGCAGGAUGGUGGCAAGAACUUGUAGUAAUAUGUGAAUAAAUAAGCUAACUAACAAUAAGGGCUUGUUUGGUUCAAGGGUGGAAUUGAAAUGGAUAAUGGAAUGGGAAUGAAUUGGAAUGGUAAUUGGAAUGGCCCACUCCCCCAAGACGUUUAGUUUAUUUGUGGAUUGGGAAUUGGAAUGAGUUAUUCACAUUUCAUUGUUUGGUUCGUAUAAACUAAAAAAAUUAUAGAAUACUAUAAUACUAAUUUUACUCUCAAAUAUAAAUUUAUAUUUUUUAAAAUUUAUGAAAAAUAUAAUACUAUUCUCUAAUAAGUUUUCCAAAAAAAAUAUCAAAUUUAUUUUUAAAAUUUUUUAUUGAUGUGGGUUAGGAAUAGUGUUUUGAGAAAGGCUUUUUUUUCUUGAUGAGAAAGGGGUGAAGAGAAGGAGGGUGAGAUGGUCACAUAGGCUUCGAGAAGUUAGUGGGCUUCCGGAAUGAAAUCUCAAUCCGGGCUAGAAGACCGGAAUCAAGUUGAAGGCUAAUGGGCCAUUCUCAUUCCAGUCCGGAAUAGGAAUCCCAAACCGAUUCAUGCGAACCAAACAAAAUUAACCGGAUUUGAUCAAACCGAUUCCCAUUCCAUACCCAAAAUGGAUGAACCAAACAAGCCCUAAGAAUUAACUAGCAAUAUGUUCGUGAAUAUAUAUAUAUAUAUCAUCCUCUAGUUACAUGUAAAAGAAACACUCCAACUGUUCUUCAUCAAAGAAAGCAAGGCUACACCAAUCACCAAUGCAUCAGAAAUACCGCAUAUUUCUAUUCAUUCCAUAAAUUACUAGGAUCUGCCAGCACUAAUUUAUAGAAAUCAUCUAAGAAUACUAUAAAAUAAAGUCCACUAGGAUAAGCAGUGAGUCAAUAACAUAUCACUAGAAAAGAAAAGGUUAUGAUGACAACAGAAUAUUAGAAAUCUGCUCAAGCACAUGUGUACUGCCUUUUGAAGUGACUUUGGAGCAUAUGAAAGAUGAUAAAAAUCACCCCAUAUGUUCAAUGAAAAUAAAAUAACAUAGCAUAAAUGUUCAAUAGAUUACAAUAUAUGUUCAAUUGAUUAUGAUAUAUGAUGAAACAAAAUGCUUUCCACGGAGCAGGCCAGUAUAUAAGACUCACACAACUGCUACAACAAAAGAAGUGUCAUCUGUGAGCAUUCACAGCACCUAGAGAGGUUGCUCCUAUGGUCUUAAAAGCUUUGUAUAGUUUAUUACAAGGUCUUCAAUUUCGCCUCGACCAUCAAAGCAAUCAGCAAUCCGUUGUCGGAUUAGUUUACAAGUCACAAUCUUAAAACAGCUAGCUAGAUCAAGAUCUUUUCAUGAAUCUCACCCAAAAGACCCAAAAACAAUUUCAAGCGUGCAGUAAGAACAAAGCAUUCAAGUGAGAUCAGCUGCACAGGAAUCAGGCAGAAGCAAAAUGGGAACAAAAUCAGCAGUUCCAAAUAAGAACCUCAAAGCAGAAAAUUACACAGCGAACCAGAAGUGGAAGAAGUUAGAUGACAUAUAUUACUUGGAAAAAUAUCUGAAGCCAUUGUAUUCAUUGUCGUAGAGGGUGCAGCAGAUGGUAUAGGCGCAUUGCAUUCUUUACACUGCCCAAAGAGAAUAUGAAUCAGGAUAUAUGACCAACAUUAUUUGAAGAUAAGAAGAUUAAUGUUUGUUAACUAAAAGGAAAAUGAUAAUGUAGUUUAGGCUUCUUAACAUCUUACCCUAGCUAACUCCUACAUAUCCAAGUGUUAAGCUCUCAAAGGUAGAGCCCUCCAGACAGAAGUACAAGGUGUAGGCACAUGCAUGCAUGCUAUGUGAACCGAUUUUCAGAUACUAAGACUCUUAUUCGAAUACAGACCAGAUAUACACAAUAACGGUAGCUUUCCUUGUUCAUUAAUUAGAAAUAACCCAAGUAAAUGCUAAGAAUAAAGAAAGUACAUCACACUUACUAUGUAGGAACUUAUUCCACAUUAGUCCUUGAAUUCAUUAAGUGAGAAAUACUCAUUCUGUAAAGUUCACCAUGGUUCACUAUAGUAAUUAAUGCUUCAGUCUACUUGGCCUUAUUUUCUUCUAAUAAUUAGCUGAGAUGCCAACAUAUAGGACUGAUUAGACAAUUUUAAGUUUUUUGUAAAGUUCUAACUUGUAAAUAUCAAACCGGUAAGGUCCUAUAUAUUAAAAUUAGAUUAGCCUCUUUAGUCCAAUCACACAACAAAAUUGACAGUGUUUUCUGGAAUGGAGUAAAUAUUAUAACACUCCAUAUACUGCAAACCAAAAAAGUUGAUUGUAAUCUUAUUAUGUCCAUAAUUCUCUAUCUUCUUCUUUUUGUAUUACUAAAAUGCGAAAAAAUAAAAAAAAAAAAAAAGAUAAAUAAAUGAAGAGAAACCACCUCAGUGCGCGAUGAAUAGUUAUGGAAACCGCAUUUGCAUAUCCAAUCACCGUCACGCCAGCCGUUCAGAACCGUAGGAAGUUGAUUUCUGUUACCAGAAGAGGAAAACCCCGCACUACUGCUACUUCCACUGAAUGUCCAAUCAGGAGUAGAUUGAAGCCCAUAUCUACUAAACCCGCCAUACAACCAAUUAGGGUUUUGUUGUAGAAGUGACUGCUGUAGAGCCAAGUAAUUCAUCUUCAACCCUGCUAAUUCCUGUGCUGAUCUGGCAAAAUAAUGUGCAUAAUUUGCUGGCAGAGAUAAUCCAUGCAUUGCAAUUGCUGGGAGAGCCGACUCCUCCUUUGGCUGGCCACACUUUUUGCACUCCUUUCUGGACGCAUAAUUGUUGUUACUGCAACCUAUACAUCCCAACCAAAUAUGCAACCACCGAAGUAAUACGCAACACCAACCAGUUAUUCCAAAACAUAACACACACACGCACACACACACGCACCCAAGUGCGCAUGCGCACACACUCAAUUCAACUUGUUCAAAUAUUGUAAAGCAGAACAGACACUCUAUUCAACUUGUUCAAAUAGUGUAAUGCAGCUUCUAAGCCUGCAUAUCUAUUAGGUUUAUUGCAUAUAUAAAACAGCUAAUAUGCAAAACUGUGCAAAUACCCAGCGAAGUUGGUAUUUGCAUGCAAAACUGUGCAAAUACGCAGCGAAGUUGUUAAAACUUUGCUUAUUUCGCACAUACACAUGCCAGGGGUAUAUACGCACAUAAGGUUUUUGCCCAUAAACCCUGGCAGGGUUAUUAGUGACGAUAAAUAAAUUAAAUGAACAAAAUGUCAGGGGCACCAAUGAUAAUUAAUGCAAGCAACUGUGGAAGCCAAACUGUUCAAAAAAAGGUAUCAUAAACUAGAAAGUACAAAUGAUAUAGAGCAAUGGAAAAUGUGAAUACUGCCUAUAUGUACAUAGGCUAUCGUAUAAGGCACUACCGCUAUAAACUAUAAUAUGAAUAUUUGUUGAAGGUGCAGAAAGAACAAGCUAUCUUGGUCAACUAGCAUGUUAAAAUUAUCAAUGUAUAUUGGCUCAGAUUAUCCUUUUUAAUGCAGUUACCUUCCUCCUAUAUUACUUUCGAAACUGGAAAAUUUAUUUUACGCAGUUAUAUUCUAGCAUAAAGAACUACAAAAUUUGAUAUGAAACUAGUUUUCUGAAACACUUUGCUUAACCAAUCCUAUUGCAGCUUUUUGCUUUGAUUCUUUAUUAGUGUACAAAAUUGUGUUUAAAUUGAAGAUACUAUAAUUUAAUAUAUCAAAAGCAGUUCCUGUGAUUACCACGCAGUUGAGUGAAACUAUUAAAACUAUUCCCGGGUCAUAUCCUAUGAGAUUGAGCUAUUAGAAAAGACAAACGAAAUAAAGUAGAAUAUACAUAAGCCAUUUUGAAAUGCACCUUCAACUUUAUCUUCUGAGCUUGACAAACCCUUAACAUUUAGUCAUUUUAUUCGAUUCAUUUUCCUACAUUAGAUCAAAAUUUUGUUAAAAUUCACAGCUCCAUUAUCUGUAAGUCAUUAAUUGUUUGCACAAUUCAUAGUUCACCCUUUCAUGCAUAAAAAACAUUCAAAACAAUUAAAUUCAAAAAAAAUCAUUGUUAAAAUAAACAAAUCCUCAAUAUAAUUGAUAGAUGUAAUUUAAACAAAAAUAAUCAAAAGAAAAAUAAGUCGAGGGCCUAGUUCCAAAUUUGAGGGUGUCCCAUACAUUUCCUUCAGAUUUUCGUUAUGGAACAGUGAAAAGCAAGCGUGGUUUCGAAUCUUUCGAUCAGAAACAAAACUUCUAGGGCAUCAAGCACGUCAAAACCAACAUCGACACGAAUUCUUCACAAUCGAAGGUAAACAAAGCGUCAAUACGAUCGAGAUCACAAAAUCUCACCAUUCUUUCAAAACCUAAACCCUCCGACGAAACAUCUAGGGCACAAAACACGUCAAAACCAACAUCGAUACGCAUUUUCCACGAUCAAAAGCAACGAUUAGAGUUUCGAAGAGAAUACUGGGGUUAGGGUUAGGGUUUUGAGAUUACCGGCGCAGAUCCAGUCGCCGAUGCGGGGUAGCCACUUGGAGUCGCGGGGGGUGUGGGCGUCGACGAGAAGGCGCGGCUGCUUGCAGCGGUUGCAGAGGGAGCGGAAGGCGUAGUUGCGGUUGCCGCACCCCCCACAGUCCCAGUCCCCCUCCCGCCCCAACCCUCCCUCCCCCGCCAUCUCCACCUCCUCUGCACCCCUUCCCCCGCGGCCGAAGCGGACGAUGCCGCUUCUGCUUCCGCUUCUGCGAGAAGCGGCUUUUGUGCUUCUCGAUCAAACCCUAGGCUCUGAGAGAGAGAGAGAGAGAGAGAGAGAGAGAGAGAGAGAGAGAGGGAAGAGGGGGAGGAGAGGAGCCGUGGAGGGGCAAGGGGGAGAGAGAGAGAGAGAGAGAGAGAGAGAGGAACCCUUACAUGCAUAUAAAGCAACCGCAGGUGGAGGGGAGGGAACUAUUCGGGAAGUAUAUUCUCGCUCGGGCUUUGUCGGAUACGGUUGUGGGAGAAGAGAGAGAGAGAGAGAGAGAGGUGUGAUUACUCGCGGAGGGAGUUUAAAGAGACAACUACAGCUAAAUGGUUCCACCCAGCCUAUAAAUAAAUAAGUAAAUUUUCCCAAAAAUCAAACUAAUAAAUAUUUUUAUUAAUUUUAUUUAAAAUAAUAUGAAAAAAAAUAAAUUUAGUGAUAAUCACGUCAAGUGGAAUCUAAUUGUACAAAUAUCAAGUUUUGUUGUAUUGGUUUUACAUUGUCUUUCUUUUAUCACUCUUAUACAUAACUGAGUGAUUGUUACUUUAUAAAAAAGAAAAGUUGAAUAACUAAUUUGGCUAAAACUGAUAAAGUUGAAAAUAGUUGUAAUCAACAAAAAUUCCAUACUUCAUAAAACAUUCACCAGCAAUUCAAUAACAAAAGCAUUAACAUAAAACACUGAAAAUACCCAAAAAAAGGGAAAAAAAUGUCUGGUAUUAUUUACAAUUUUAUUAUUUUUAAGAUAACAAAAGUAAAAACAUGGCAAGUAACUCAUUUGACAAGUACUCAAACUAUGUUUAAUAAUAAUCUUCAUAGUUUUCUUAUAUUUUGCUACCCAACUGAGGCCCAGUGGGCUCCGAACGAUUGCAAAUUAUGGCCCAAAAUCUCAAAUCAAGGCCCAAAGCCUACUCACCGGGCCGGGCUCGAUAUAACAGGAGUAGACACAUUUAAUCAACAACAAAUUAAGCUGUGAUUUCACACAAAUAAUAAUAAUAGUAGAUAGUAGAUAAAGUUGAUUUGAAAAAAUAAAGUAAAAUAAAACUCAAUCAGAAAUAUAACAGCAUCUAAUCUGAACUUUAAUUAUGCUAUGCUAAUCUUACAUGCAAAAUUACAGGAAUGUAACUGAAAUUAAAUGGAGAGAAACUUUUACUAUAAUUAUCAAAAAUUAUAGUAAAAGUUUCCACCCAAUUAAUAAGUGAUAGUGGAUCAGAAAGUUGGCGUGAGUGAGAUGCAAUUAAACAAUAUCUUAAAAGAAAAGAAUUAAGAUUUUUUUUUCUUGAAAAAAACUUGUAGAAUAUUAAACUAAUUAUAUGUCAUAUAGAAAAGGUCGUGCAUGCGUGUGCCUCUAUCCAUAAUGCAAACAUUUUACUAUAAUGAAUACUUAUUGUAAUUAUAAUUAAUUCUCUCAGCCAACGAUCUCUCUGAAACUUAAAGUUGAAGGGAUCGAUAAAUGUAUGAUCGAUAUGAAUAAGUAAAUUAUUAUUGAAAGCGACGAGAUAUAUUAAAGUUAGAUUCAAAUUGUCAAUAGCAAAGAUACAAAAUAU
rnacentral:lncRNA from 1 species